rnacentral:rRNA from 1 species
GGAUAACUGUGGUAAUUCUAGAGCUAAUACAUGCCACGAGUUCCCAAAGUGUUUUGUUUGCUUUCUUUUCGGAGAUUCGAAUUUAAAUAUGAGUAGGACGCAAUUAUUAGAUCCAAAAAUUGUACCGAAGAUAUUUUCUUACGAGGGUCUGGAUGAUUAAAGUUGACUUUGCUAACGCUUCGUCUCUUUACAUUUUUCCUUUCUCCGAGUUUGAUAUCUUUAACUUGGUGUAAAAUUUGGUGAAUCUGGAUAAUCCCACACAGCAGAGCGCUUAAGGCCCUUGUGCCGGCGCCUGACCUUUGAAGAGUCUGCCCUAUCAGCUUGAUUGUAGAUUAAAUGUCUACAAUGGCUAUAACGGGUAACGGGGAAUCAGGGUUCGAUUCCGGAGAGGGAGCCUGAGAAACGGCUACCACAUCUAAGGAAGGCAGCAGGCACGCAAAUUGCUCAAUCUUAGCUCGAGGAAGCAGUGACAAAAUAUCUUGAUGCGGGACUCUUCCGAGGCCUCGCAAUCAGGAUGCGUUUACUUUAAAGCAGUAAACUGAACGCAAUUGGAGGGCAAGUCUGGUGCCAGCAGCCGCGGUAAUUCCAGCUCCAAUAGCGUAUAUUUAAGUUGCUGCGGUUAAAAAGCUCGUAGUUGGACUUCUAUACUCAGGCAGACCAGCCCUCUCCUCCUCUCCUAUAUAAUCGUUCCGUUCAAGUACAGUAACGUAAUACGGGGUCAUUUUGAGAAAUUUGUGCGUGUGGUUUCUAUUCCUUCGGGUUUGAGGCUCAUCACUUUUUUUUAAUUUACCUUUCGUUAUCUCGAAAAAGCGGGUGACGUUAGUACGGAGUGGUGGGGGGCGUAAACUGCGUCUGUGACUGAGUGUAAUAUGAGACCGCCGAUAUUUACUUUUAGUUUUUCGAAAUAAUCUAUAACCGUUUCCAUGGUGCCCUUCAUUGGGUGUCCAUUUUAUACAGUACAAGAUACAUUCGUUACGAAUAAAGUUAUCGGCUCUAUCACUUUGAAAAAAUUAGAGUGCUUAAAGCAGGCCUCAUUGCAUAAUUGCCUGAAUGGUAGUGCAUGGAAUGAUGGAAGAUGAUCUCUACCUCGUUAAGUUAAAAAAGGAACUUGUUUUCUUUUUUUCUUUGCGCCAAGUGGAAUAAGGGUACAUUUGAAAUAAAAGAUUCGAGGUUUGAGAUAAUGAUUAAAGGGAACUGCCGGGGGCGUUUGUAUUACGGCGCUAGAGGUGAAAUUCUUGGACCGUCGUAAGACAAACUACUGCGAAAGCAUUCGCCAAGAAUGUUUUCAUUAAUCAAGAACGAAAGUUAGAGUUUAGAAGGAGAUCAGAUACCUCCCUAUUUCUAACCGUAAACUAUGCUAACCAGUUGUCCGUCGGAAGUCAUUUCCGAGACUGGACGAGCGACCCUCAGGGAAACCAGAGUUUCUGAGUUCCGGGGGAAGUAUGGUUGCAAAGCUGAAACUUAAAGGAAUUGACGGAAGGGCACCACCAGGAGUGGAGCCUGCGGCUUAAUUUGACUCAACACGGGAAAACUCACCAGGCCCAGAAACAUUUAGGAUUGACAGAUUGAAAGCUCUUUCAUGAUUAUGAGGAUGGUGGUGCAUGGCCGUUCUUAGUUGGUGGAGCGAUCUGUCUGGUUAAUUCCGAUAACGAACGAGAUUCUCGUUUACUAAAUAGAAGGUAGAUCUGAUCCCGGAGGUCCUUUUUCUUUUUCUCUUUUUUCCUCGGGUAAGUGCGUUCUCUUCAUGCCGUUGGUGUUUUGUUUCUUUUUUCUGCGUUUACUGAGUUCUGGCGUUUCUGCACUUGUGUGGUUAUGUUUGGAAGGAAGUGGCGUGGAUGGGGGAUGAGACUCGGCGAAACAGGAGGAAUGAGCUCUGGGGUUAGGAGGAUGGAGGAGGGGCUCUUAUGACGGGUAGUCUACACCCGUUUCUUCUUAGAAAAAUCAAUGGUGCUCUAAUCAGUUGACAGGAAGAGCAAUAACAGGUCUGUGAUGCCCUUAGAUGUUCUGGGCCGCACGCGCGCUACAAUGCACGGUGCAGCACGUCCCCCUUCUCCAUAAUGGAGUGGGUAACCGGCUCAAAUCCGGGCCUACUUGGGAUUGGGGCUUGCAAAUAUUUCCCAUGAACGAGGAAUUCCCAGUAAGCGUUGGCUCAUUUAAGUCGCGCUGAUUACGUCCCUGCCCUUUGUACACACCGCCCGUCGCUACUACCGAUUGAAUGAUUCAGUGAGAACACUGGACUGUCGUUCUAAUAGUAUUUUUACUAAUACCUAUUUAAAGGACUGACGGAAAGAUGUUCAAACUUGAUCAUUUAGA